UGCUGUAGUUAAUCCUUUAGCGGUAAAAAAAGCGGUUACAAGUCCAGGUACUUCUUUCUCGAAAUUGCAAAAACUGCUUGAAUGGGAGGAAUUAUGAAACAACAUGAUAGACAUACAACUCUAAAGUACAGGUUCGGCGUCCCUCUAGGGCACAUGAUGGUCUAAGCCAGCGAAGGGGAAACUGAUUCCAUCCACUGAUUUGCGGCGGCGAAGGGAAACGCCAUGGCUGAUCGACACCGCUGUCAACCGCAGAGCAAAGUGAAACCCCCCUCAGUCUUACAGCGACCACCAAGGAGCGCGGAUCUACCUGUUAAAUAUACAUACACCUUUAUUUUAUCUUCUGCAUGUAUUUAAUUUACUAUAUUUAUCUUCUUAACUCCUUCAAUAAACUUAUUAA